GCCAGUGUGGCUCAGGGGAUAGAGCAUUGUUCUGCAGACCAGAGGGUCCCGGGUUCGAUUCCAGGCAAGGGCA
rnacentral:tRNA from 1 species